GCGGACCUGACUGCUAUCUGAUUGGUCUAAGCCAUGCGAGUCGUUGUACAUACAAGGCGGACUGCUCAGUAACACGUAGUUAACUUAACCUAUGGAUGGGGAUAACCUCGGGAAACUGAGAAUAAUACCCAAUGGGCCACAGUGCCUGGAAUGGCCUGUGGUUGAAAUGAUUUAUCGCCGUAGGAUAGGACUGCGGCCUAUCAGCUUGUUGGUGAGGUAAUGGCCCACCAAGGCUAUAACAGGUACGGGCUCUGAGAGGAGGGGCCCGGAGACGGGUACUGAGACACGGACCCAGGCCCUAUGGGGCGCAGCAGGCGAGAAACCUUUGCAAUGUGCGAAAGCACGACAAGGUUAAUCCGAGUGUCUCCUGCUAAAGGAGUCUUUUGUCAGUUGUAGAAUCACUGGUGAAUAAGGGGUGGGCAAGUUCUGGUGUCAGCCGCCGCGGUAAAACCAGCACCUCGAGUGGUCAGGAGGUUUAUUGGGCCUAAAGCAUCCGUAGCCGGUUGCAUAAGUUUUCGGUUAAAUCUAUGCGCUUAACGUA
rnacentral:rRNA from 1 species